rnacentral:rRNA from 1 species
UGCAAGUCGAACGGUAACGCGGAGAGAAGCUUGCUUCUCUCCGGCGACGAGUGGCGAACGGGUGAGUAAUACAUCGGAACGUGUCCGCUCGUGGGGGACAACCAGCCGAAAGGUUGGCUAAUACCGCAUGAGUUCUACGGAAGAAAGAGGGGGACCCGCAAGGGCCUCUCGCGAGCGGAGCGGCCGAUGACUGAUUAGCCUGUUGGUGAGGUAACGGCUCACCAAAGCAACGAUCAGUAGCUGGUCUGAGAGGACGACCAGCCACACUGGGACUGAGACACGGCCCAGACUCCUACGGGAGGCAGCAGUGGGGAAUUUUGGACAAUGGGCGCAAGCCUGAUCCAGCUAUUCCGCGUGUGGGAUGAAGGCCCUCGGGUUGUAAACCACUUUUGUAGAGAACGAAAAGACACCUUCGAAUAAAGGGUGUUGCUGACGGUACUCUAAGAAUAAGCACCGGCUAACUACGUGCCAGCAGCCGCGGUAAUACGUAGGGUGCGAGCGUUAAUCGGAAUUACUGGGCGUAAAGGGUGCGCAGGCGGUUGAGUAAGACAGAUGUGAAAUCCCCGAGCUUAACUCGGGAAUGGCAUAUGUGACUGCUCGACUAGAGUGUGUCAGAGGGAGGUGGAAUUCCACGUGUAGCAGUGAAAUGCGUAGAUAUGUGGAAGAACACCGAUGGCGAAGGCAGCCUCCUGGGACA